AUGGUACUCGAAUCCAUUUAUGAUCCCGAGUUUCCAGACACAUCGCACUUCCGCUCGGGUCGAGGCCACUACUCGGCCCUAAGACGGAUCAAAGAAGAGUGAGGAACCUCUCGCUGGUUUUUUGAAUUCGACAUCAGGAAGUGUUUUCACACCAUCGACCAACAUCGACUCAUCCCAAUCUUUAAGGAAGAGAUCGACGAUCCCAAGUUCUUUUACUCCAUUCAUAAAGUCUUUUCCGCCGGACGACUCGUAGGAGGUGAGAAGGGCCCUUACUCCGUCCCACACAGUGUACUACUAUCGGCCCUACCAGGCAACAUCUACCUACACAAGCUCGAUCAGGAGAUAGGAAGGAUCCGAAAAAAGUACGAAAUUCCAAGAAUAAGAUCGGUUCUAUUAAGGACAAGUCGUAUUGAUGACCAAGAAAACUCUGGAGAAGAAGCAAGCUUAAAUGCUCCCCAAGACAACAGAGCCAUCAUUGUAGGCAGGGUCAAGAGCAUUCAACGCAAAGCGGCCUUUCAUUCCCUUGUUUCGUCGUGGCACCCCCCCCCCCCCCCCCCCCCCACAAGCACCCCCCGGCGAAGGGGGACCAGAAAACGCCUUUCGUUUCCCCCCCUUCGUCGGCCCUAGCCGCCUUCCUUAACAAGCCCUCGAGCCUCCUUUGCGCCGCCUUCUUCAUAGAAGCCGCCGGGGCCGGGUUGACCCCGAAGACCGAAUUCUAUGGUAGAGAAUGCUGCUUUAAUAAUAAUUUGGCCAUGAGAGACCUUAUUAAGUAUUGUAAAAGAAAGGGCCUGUUGAUAGAGCUGGGCGGGGAGGCGAGACUAGUUAUCAGGUCAGAGAGAGGCCUGGCCCGUAAACUGGCCCCCUUCAAAAUAAAAACCCAUUAUUUCAUAAGGAUUUGGUACGUGCGAUAUGCCGACGACUUACUACUGGGAAUCAUGGGUGCCAUAGAGCUUCUCAUAGAAAUAAAAAAACGUAUCGCCCACUUCCUACAAUCUGGCCUGAACCUUUGGGUAGGCUCUGCAGGAUCAACAACAAUAGCUGCACGGAGUACGGUUGA